rnacentral:lncRNA from 1 species
UAUUCCUUAUCUUAAUUCUUUCUUACUUUGAAGUGUCCAUGGUACUUAAAGAAGGAGGAACAAAUCAGCUAUCGAAGUUGCUUGCAGGCUAGCACCUCCAAGUCCUUGAUCUGUGCCUGUCUUCGCAUGGAUCUUCCUGUAGAGGCCAGAUGACUCCGUGUGGCUGUGAUUGAUUUGAAGAAUAUCCUUUUUAACUUUUAGACUAAAGGAGAUUAAGAUCAAAUUUAUUUGGUAAUGAUCUCUAAUUUAUUUUGAUUCCAAUGGUAGAUCUAAUAGUUAGAUCUAAAAUUUUAGCAUCGAUGAGAUCGAUGUGAAUUUU